rnacentral:rRNA from 1 species
UACGUAGGGUGCAAGCGUUGUCCGGAAUUAUUGGGCGUAAAGAGCUCGUAGGCGGUUUGUCGCGUCUGCUGUGAAAACUCGGGGCUUAACUCCGGGCCUGCAGUGGGUACGGGCAGACUAGAGUGCGGUAGGGGAGACUGGAAUUCCUGGUGGAGCGGUGAAAUGCGCAGAGAUCAGGAGGAACACCCGUAGCGAAGGCGGCACUCUGGGCCGAUACUGACACUGAGGAGCGAAAGCAUGGGGAGCGAACAGG